rnacentral:rRNA from 1 species
GACGAACCGAGCGAACGUUGUUCGGAAUCACUGGGCUUAAAGGGCGCGUAGGCGGUCUUGUAAGUCCCGUGUGAAAUCCCUCGGCUCAACUGAGGAACCGCACGGGAAACUGCUUGGCUUGAGUUCGGGAGAGGGAAGCGGAAUUCCGGGUGUAGCGGUGAAAUGCGUAGAUAUCCGGAGGAACACCGGCGGCGAAGGCGGCUUCCUGGACCGACACUGACGCUGAGGCGCGAAAGCUAGGGGAGCAAACGGG